GACGAACGCUGGCGGCAUGCCGAACACUUGCAAGUCGAACGAGAUCUUCGGGUCUAGUGGCGCACGGGUGCGUAACGCGUGGGAAUCUGCCCUUUGGUUCGGAAUAACAGUUGGAAACGACUGCUAAUACCGGAUGAUGACGAAAGUCCAAAGAUUUAUCGCCAGAGGAUGAGCCCGCGUAGGAUUAGCUAGUUGGUGUGGUAAAGGCGCACCAAGGCGACGAUCCUUAGCUGGUCUGAGAGGAAGAUCAGCCACACUGGUACGGAGACACGGCCCAGACUCCUACGGGAGGAAGCAGUGGGGAAUAUUGGACAAUGGGCGAAAGCCUGAUCCAGCAAUGCCGCGUGAGUGAUGAAGGCCGUAGGGUUGUAAAGCUCUUUUACCCGGGAUGAUAAUGACCGUACCGGGAGAAUAAGCUCCGGCUAACUCCGGGCCAGCAGCCGCCGUAA
rnacentral:rRNA from 1 species